rnacentral:rRNA from 1 species
CGCGUAGGUGGCCUUCUAAGUCGAACGUGAAAUCCCUGGGCUCAACCCAGGAACUGCGUCCGAGACUGGGAGGCUUGAAUCCGGGAGAGGGAUGCGGAAUUCCAGGUGUAGCGGUGAAAUGCGUAGAUAUCUGGAGGAACACCGGUGGCGAAGGCGGCAUCCUGGACCGGUAUUGACACUGAGGCGCGAAAGCGAGGGGAGACGAAACGGG